rnacentral:rRNA from 1 species
AGAGUUUGAUCCUGGCUCAGAGCGAACGCUAGCGGCGUGGAUUAGGCAUGCAAGUCGAACGAUCUAAUAUUAAUUUGCUUGCAAAUUAGUUGAGGAGAGUGGCGUAAGGGUGAGUAACACGUGGGCAACCUGCCCUUGUCAUGGGGAUAACCUUGCGAAAGCAGGGCUAAUACCGAAUAAUGUACUGCUUCGCAUGUUGCAGUACCAAAGGGUGCUCCGUAAGGAGUGUCGGAUAAGGAGGGACCCGCGGCCUAUCAGCUUGUUGGUGGGGUAAUGGCCCACCAAGGCUAAGACGGGUAGCUGGUCUGAGAGGAUGGUCAGCCACACUGGGACUGAGACACUGCCCAGACUCCUACGGGAGGCUGCAGUCGAGAAUCUUCCCCAAUGGGCGAAAGCCUGAGGGAGCGACGCCGCGUGAGGGAUGAAGGUCUUCGGAUUGUAAACCUCUGUUGCCCCGGAAGAAGUUCUGACGGUACGGGGUGAGGAAGCUCCGGCUAACUACGUGCCAGCAGCCGCGGUAAUACGUAGGGAGCAAGCGUUGCUCGGAAUUACUGGGCGUAAAGGGUGUGUAGGCGGAUGUAUAAGUCUAGGGUGAAAUCCUUCGGCUCAACCGGAGAACUGCUCUAGAAACUAUAUGUCUUGAGUGCAGAAGAAGGGAGUGGAAUUCUCGGUGUAGCGGUGAAAUGCGUGGAUAUCGAGAAGAACACCAGUGGCGAAAGCGGCUCUCUAUUCUGACACUGACGCUGAGGCACGAAAGCUAGGGGAGCGAAAGGGAUUAGAUACCCCUGUAGUCCUAGCUGUAAACGUUGCACACUUGGUGUAUGCCGAUUUUCGGUGUGUGCCGAAGCUAACGCGAUAAGUGUGCCGCCUGGGGACUACGGUCGCAAGGCUAAAACUCAAAGGAAUUGACGGGGACCCGCACAAGCGGUGGAGCAUGUGGUUUAAUACGACGCAACGCGUAGGACCUUACCAGGGUUUGACAUGCUGGUGGUACUCCGGUGGAAACAUUGGAGGACUUCUUUGAAGAGCCAGUGCAGGUGUUGCAUGGCUGUCGUCAGCUCGUGCUGUGAAGUGUUGGGUUAAGUCCCGCAACGAGCGCAACCCUUAUCCUUAGUUGCCAUCUUUGGAUUUAUCCGAAGGGCUCUCUAGGGAGACUGCCCGGGUCAACCGGGAGGAAGGUGGGGAUGACGUCAAGUCAUCAUGGCCCUUACACCCUGGGCUACACACGUGCUACAAUCCUUGCUACAGAGGGUCGCAAUACCGCGAGGUGGAGCUAAUCCCGAAAAGCAAGGCCAGUUCGGAUUGGAGUCUGCAAUUCGACUCCAUGAAGCCGGAAUCGCUAGUAAUGGCGCAUCAGCUACGGCGCCGUGAAUACGUUCCCGGGUCUUGUACACACCGCCCGUCACGUCACCCGAGUUGGCUGCACCUGAAGUCCCCCCCAAUUUUUUGGGGAGGCCCACGGUGUGGUU